CUCUGACACUGGGGGGACGCUGAGGGAUCUGGGGGAGUUGGGAACGGUCAGGGGGAGGGUCAUGGUUGGGCUGGAGGAGCUGCAAGGGAUUUUUCCAACCCCAAUGAUUCUGGGUUUCUGU